rnacentral:lncRNA from 1 species
AUAUUUUUAAAAUGUAAUAUUACUAUUUUGAGAACUUUUUUUUUUUUAUGAAAUCAGAAAAUACAUACAAAUAUUUUUCGUUUUUCCAAUUCGUUUUUUUUACUUUAUAAAAUAUUUCAUUUUUAUUAUAUGUAUAUAAUAUUUUAAUUCAUUAAGAGUAUCAUUGUAAUCAACUAUCGUGAGAAUUAAUAUGAGAGCGAUACGUAAGAAAAUGACUUCUCAAAUAAUAUUGUAGAGAUGAGAAGGAUUUUUAAAAAAAAUCUACUUUUGCAAAGUUGUUGGAUCUUUUCACUAAAUUUUUUUUUUUUUUUUGGUCUUACCUUUAUUUUCUCUAACUAUACAACAUUAUUAUUAAUCUAUAAGAUUCUCCUAAGUUUUUUAUAAGACGUAAUAAAAUAGUAACUAACAACUAAUCAUAGACGGUUAAUAGGCCCGUUAAUACGUAUCAAAGUCCAUGAGGCUUAGACGUCACGUUGCUGCUGUGCGACUUACACCUUUUAAAAAAAAAUGUUAAUAUUUAUUCAACAAAACAUCUACAAUUUUUGGUAUCUUUUGUGCAUUUUAAAAUUUUAAUUACAUGAAAAAAUCAAAGUGUGACAAUUUUUUUACAACAUAUGCCGCUUUUAUUUUUAUAUCUAACAGUAUUUAUUAUCUUCAACCGUAUUACUAUAAAUUUGUCUAAGCCAUAAAUAUUCCA